AAUAACCCCUUUGCAAAUUACCAUACGCAAACAACCAUUCAUUCUCCAGAUCUCCUUCCUCUCUCUCUCUCUCUCUCGCCCUUAGGAGAAACCCUUGAGAGAUCUAUCUAUCCAUCUGUCCACUCGGGUGGGUUCUUUAGAUCCUCAACAGGUCUAAUAAACCCAACAAUUUCAUCACCAGUUUUAGGUUUUUUCCGUUGUUUCGAUUCGAUCUAAAGGAAAGAAAGAUGUCUCGCUGCUAUCCGUACCCUCCUCCUGGUUAUUGUAGGAACGGAGCUACUGCACAUGAGGCCUUGAUCGAAUCGAUUAAGGAUCGUACACCACCUUACAUGAUUGGCAAUAGCUGUGUGAUGAUGCUAUUAUGGUUUGUUGAUAUCCUAUGUUACUGUUGGAUCUGAAUUAUAUUAAAGCUCCAGAAGGAAACCGAUAAGGCCAAGGCCGAAAGGAGGAAAGAAAAGAGAGCAAAGAAAGAAAAGAAGGAGAAAAAGAAAGAGGAAAAGGAAAAACGAAAGAACGAUGAGAAAUCCAAAUCACACAAGAAUCACCAAAGUCAGGAUCCUCAUAAGUCGUUACCGAAAGAAGCCCAACUCAAGGGAACAAAGCCCAAUACUGAAGUGUUGGAGAAGAGUGAUUUGACUCAAGAACACGGUCAACCCAUCAAACCAUGCUACUCUUCUGAUUGCACACAAAAUAGUAACAAAAGACGACGAGAUGAUGAUAAUGAUGAUGGUUUACUACCUGAUGACUCCAAUAGUCAUGGGAAACAAAUCAAGAUUCGGUUACUAAAGAAGCACAAAGGAUCUGAUUCCAUCAAGUCUGUUGAAGAUGCAAGAUCGAAAACUGUUCCUUUUGUGCCGUCUUCCAACUUGGACAGAACCCUACUUGUUUCAAGCAAUCGAAAUAAUGGUGUUCCUGCAACGUCUGGAAGAGACAACCAUGCGGUACACGGGAUUCCUUUGACCCAAACAAAGUCAAACACACGUAUCGAAAGAACAACAGAGCGCAAUCAAAACGGGCUUCAUCCUGUUAGAGAGCAGUCUGCUUCAGGUUCUACUGCAAAACCGAUUCUUCCAUCCGUGUCAAGAAAGAGCAAUGUGGAAGUGUUAAAAUCUAGUAGACAACAACAGCAGCCGCAACUACAGCAACAAAUUGCUAGUUUUGCCAGACCCGUUGUGCCUCAAAGUCAAUUGAAACAUGAGAUACCAAGUUCAUCUGUUGUUUCAAGAAACAUUAGUGUGCGACCGCAAGGGCUUAACGCAGGUAGGCAACAGCAGGGUCCAAGUGCUUUGAAGCCUGGGAUACCUGGCCCAGUUUUAAACCACCUAAGCCCAAUAACUACAGGAAAAAGGCCCAUUAGUGAAAUUACAAAUCCUAGUAGCAGCGGUCCCGCAAAGCUCGAAAAGAAAAAGGAGCUAAAGAAAGCGGGCCCUACACGAGCCGAGAAAAAGAUGAUGAAAAAGCACGCCAAGUAUGAAAAGCUGAUAGGAAGCUGGGUCCCUCCGGUUUUCCAAGCCAUACUACCUGAAGUUGGUGGUGAAGAUGAGGACUGGCUUUCUAGAAGGACGAAACCUGCGAAUUCAUCGAUCUCCAGGGGUGAAGUAGAGACGUGUGGGGAAGUGCCAUCGACAUUGUGGCAGCCUCGUGCGCGGUUCUUGGCUGAAGCGGAUAUACAUGCUUUGCCGUAUACUAUUCCUUUCUAAUGUGCUAGCGUCAAGAUGUGUAUAGUUUUUUGAGUUGGUAGGCGAAAAGAUGAAAAGAAAAAAGAGUAGAUUUUUUUUUUUAAAUUUGUUGAAGGAGGAAGACAUAUAUAAUAGACCAAUGUGUUCCCUCUUGAAAAAAAAAAAAGAAAAAUUAGAAAAGGUGGUGUAAUUUUGGUAUACAUUUGGGAUGUAGAACUGUUUUCAAGUGUAUGACAACCGGUAUUGACAUUA